UACGGGGGGGAGCAAGCGUUGUUCGGAUUUACUGGGCGUAAAGGGCGCGUAGGCGGCGUAACAAGUCACUUGUGAAAUCUCCGGGCUUAACUCGGAGCGGUCAAGUGAUACUGUUGUGCUAGAGUGCGGAAGGGGCUACUGGAAUUCUCGGUGUAGCGGUGAAAUGCGUAGAUAUCGAGAGGAACACCUGCGGCGAAGGCGGGUAGCUGGGCCGACACUGACGCUGAAGCGCGAAAGCUAGGGGAGCGAACGGG
rnacentral:rRNA from 1 species